AAGUCGUAACAAGGUCUCCGUUGGUGAACCAGCGGAGGGAUCAUUACAGAGUUGCAAAACUCCCAACCAUUGUGAACCUACCUCACCGUUGCUUCGGCGGGUGGCCCCUCCCCCUCACCCGGGUUGGGACCGCGCUGGCCCCCGGCUCCCGGGCGCUGGCAAUCCCGUCAAAGGACCUGAACCUUCUGUAAUUAUUGGCCUCUCUGAGUAACUUAUACAAUAAGUCAAAACUUUCAACAACGGAUCUCUUGGUUCUG
rnacentral:misc_RNA from 1 species